GUGGAUUUGAUGAUGAUAUAGUGUUGUUGAAGGAAAAAGAACGAGAGGGUUUUUGUUGAAUCAAGGUUCUGAAGUUGUGUUGAUAGUGAAUCAAAGAAGUAGGGUUUCAUGUUCUUCCCUACUUUAAGAACUAGGUUUUGGAAACCGAUUGAAGAUUUGAUUUGGAGUUAGAUAAUAAGAAACUGAAGGCCGGGUGUAGUAAAUUGAGGAGGAAUCUAUGAAGUAGGUGAUGGUUCUGAAACUUAUUGAGUUCUGGAAGAUGAUAAGAAUGAUGGGUUUGUGUAGAUUGAAAUUGAGUUGUGCCAGCAGUGAAGAUUGUUAAGUUUGGUUCGGUUAAUUAGGAUUUCUGAGAAUUAAAGAAGGUGAAGAAGAUCGUCGGGUUUGGUCAAGUUGGAUCUCCUGUGGAGGUGGUGAGGGGAACAACAAUUUAGAAGUUGCUGACACUUGGGUAAGUUUUGAAUUGUUGAAUUUUAAAUAUCUGUAUUGAUUUGUUUAUAUGGUUGAGCUUAUGUGUUUGAGAAUGGAUGAUGUUAUAAGAUGUUGAUGAAGAUGUUGUUGAACUAGUAGAGAAUUUGGUACUUGCCAUGAGAAUGAUUGUUGUAGGUAUAAGAUGAAAAUAUUGGUGAAGUGAAAUGUUGGUUUGAGUUGCAGGAGGCUUGAUUGUGUUUCUAUGUUGAUGACGGAUGAACUGAAUUGAGGGGUUGUAGUCUGGAUGUAUGUUACACUACAGGAAACUGGUAUAUCUGGUUAUGUAAGAAUGUGUUGAGUUGAUUGUUGCUGAGAUAUGAUGGUGAAUGAGAUUGAUUUGAGAUAUUGUUUAGUUAGUGGAACUGGAGAAAUAAUUGUAUUACAUGAACUGAAUAUGGAUGCAGUGAAGAGCUGGAGAUGGUGAAUAUGCAGUUGGGUUGUAGUUGUAACUAGUUGCUGGUGGAGACGCAGAUUGAAGUUAGAUUGGUUGUUGUAAAUUUAUUGUCUGUAUAGAAGUGUAGGUUAGUUGAAUGUGUGCAACAGAGGUACUGUGGUUAGUGAUUGAGGUUGUUUGAGAAGGACUGGAGAGAUUUCGAGAUGAAUUGUAGAAAUUAAUGUGAAAUGAUGGUUGUCUGGAACUGGAAUUAAAAUGGCUGUGGUGUUGGAUUUGAUUUGGUAGCGAAUUGAUUAUGGACUGCAUGUGGAAUGAGAUGGUGUUGUUGUAUGUGUUUGUGUUAAUGGCAGGUGUUAUGAAUUGGUUUAGAUGAAUGGGUUAGGAAGGUAUAUGAACUUGUUGAUUGGUGGUGUAUUGGUGUUACAGUUCAUGAGAUGACAGUGUCGAUAUAAUGAAGUGGCAGUUUAGUUGUGUUUUGCUGGAAUUGAGAUGAUGCUAGAUACAACAGGUGAUAUCGGGUUGGUUUGGCAGUUUAAUGAAGGAGGCGAGAUGAACUCAGAUAUAGUGAAGUUACAGUGUUAUAAGGAUAUGAGGAAUGUGGCACUGAGGUUGUGGAAGUGAAUGGUUGUGUUACUGAAAUUUCAGGGAUAGAGUAGAGGGUUAUAGUUUUGAAGAUGAAAUUUUGAGUAUAAAGUUGAAGUUGAACUGUGGAGUGAUUCAGUUUAGUACAUGUGUUGCACAAAUCUUCUAUUGCAGUUAGUAUGUGUUAACAACGAUCGAUUCAAAGGACGAACCAAUGGAUCGUGAAUCUCGAGGGAGGCGUGGCUUGUCAUCAAAAGAGUUUUCAGAGACAGAUCAGAGUUGCGCAGCGAAAGCCAAA